GAUGAAGAACGUAGCGAAAUGCGAUAAGUAGUGUGAAUUGCAGAAUUCAGUGAAUCAUCGAAUCUUUGAACGCACAUUGCGCCCCUUGGUAUUCCAUGGGGCAUGCUUGUUCGAGCGUCAUUGCUGCCCUCAAGCACGGCUUGUGUGUUGGGCCUCCGUCCUCCUCCCGGGGGACGGGCCCGAAAGGCAGCGGCGGCACCGCGUCCGGUCCUCGAGCGUAUGGGGCUUCGUCACCCGCUCUUGUAGGCCCGGCCGGCGCUUGCCGACACAUCAAUCUUUUUUCCAGGUUGACCUCGGAUCAGGUAGGGAUACCCGCUGAACUUAAGCAUAUCAAUAAGCGGAGGA
rnacentral:misc_RNA from 1 species